rnacentral:rRNA from 1 species
AACGAACGCUGGCGGCAGGCUUAACACAUGCAAGUCGAACGCAUCCUUCGGGGUGAGUGGCAGACGGGUGAGUAACGCGUGGGAACGUGCCCUUCAGUUCGGGAUAACCCAGGGAAACUUGGGCUAAUACCGGAUACGUGCGAGAGCAGAAAGAUUUAUCGCUGAAGGAUCGGCCCGCGUCUGAUUAGCUAGUUGGUGGGGUAAUGGCCCACCAAGGCGACGAUCAGUAGCUGGUCUGAGAGGAUGAUCAGCGACAUUUGGACUGAGACACCGCCCACCCCCCUUAGGAGGGCAGCAGUGGGGAAUAUUGGAGAAGGGGCGCGAGCCUGAUCCAGCCAUGCCGCGUGAGUGAUGAAGGCCUUAGGGUUGUAAAGCUCUUUCGUCCGGGACGAUAAUGACGGUACCGGAAGAAGAAGCCCCGGCUAACUUCGUGCCAGCCGCCGCGGUAA